AGGAAAUCGGUAUUUUGUUCAUGAGCGGAACUUUAUAAUAUUGCGGUGCACGGAUAGAAUAUGAUAUAAAGUCAUUACUAUAAAAAAGCUUAUUGAAUUUUGAAGGGGGGCUAAUUUAAAACUUGGGGUUGCUAAAAACUCACUAGUUGUGCCUACGAAUUUGACAGCGGAUUUUGAAAAUUUCUCUGAGUAAUCGGCGGGGGAUCCCGAAACAAAAUAUGUAUUUCAAAAAGAUAAUAAUUCGAAUAGAGUCGACGAAUUUUGUAUAUUGUCUUGCCGGUCAAUCCGCCGUCGACGUACCUAUACGGUAUUGAACAGAAAGGUCUGUCGGAUCGGACGUGUGAA